CACGUAGGGGGCAAGCGUUGUCCGGAUUUAUUGGGCGUAAAGAGCUCGUAGGUGGUUCGGUAAGUCGGGUGUGAAACCUCCAGGCUCAACCCUGGAGACGCCACCUGAUACUGCUGUGACUGGAGUCCGGUAGGGGAGCGUGGAAUUCCUGGUGUAGCGGUGAAAUGCGCAGAUAUCAGGAGGAACACCAGCGGCGAAGGCGGCGCUCUGGGGCCGGUACUGACACUGAGGAGCGAAAGCGUGGGUAGCAAACAGG
rnacentral:rRNA from 1 species